rnacentral:SRP_RNA from 1 species
GCUGGGCGAGGUGGCACAUGCCUGUAGUCCCAGAUACUCAGGAGGCUGAGGUGGGAGGAUCGCUUGAGCCCAGGAGUUCUGGGCUGUGUAGUGUGCUGUGCGGAUCGGGUGUCCACACUAAGUUGGGCAUCAAUAUGGUGACCUCCCAGGAGCAGGGGACCACCAGGUUGCCUAAGGAGGGAUGAACCGGCCCAGGUCAGAAACAGAGCAAGUCAAAACUCCCAUGCUGAUCGGUAGUGGGAUCGUGCCUGUGAAUAGCCACUGCACUCCAGCCUGGGCAAAGUAGCAAGACCCCAUCUCU